UCUCAGACAUCAGUUUGUUGGUUCUCUGA
rnacentral:piRNA from 1 species